rnacentral:rRNA from 1 species
AACACAUGCAAGUCGAGCGGAAACGAGUUAUCUGAACCUUCGGGGAACGAUAACGGCGUCGAGCGGCGGACGGGUGAGUAAUGCCCUGGGAAAUUGCCCUGAUGUGGGGGAUAACCAUUGGAAACGAUGGCUAAUACCGCAUAAUAGCUUCGGCUCAAAGAGGGGGACCUUCGGGCCUCUCGCGUCAGGAUAUGCCCAGGUGGGAUUAGCUAGUUGGUGAGGUAAUGGCUCACCAAGGCGACGAUCCCUAGCUGGUCUGAGAGGAUGAUCAGCCACACUGGAACUGAGACACGGUCCAGACUCCUACGGGAGGCAGCAGUGGGGAAUAUUGCGCAAUGGGCGCAAGCCUGAUGCAGCCAUGCCGCGUGUAUGAAGAAGGCCUUCGGGUUGUAAAGUACUUUCAGCAGUGAGGAAGGCGGGUGCGUUAAUAGCGCAUUCGUUUGACGUUAGCUGCAGAAGAAGCACCGGCUAACUCCGUG